AGUGGAGUAAAAGCCCAGACACAGGUCUGUGUUUUUCACAUGCAGUUUCUUUUUUUUAUUAUUAUCAUGUCACAAACCAGUUUGAUGUGUUUUUCAGAAGUGAAAAUAUUUUGACUUGUAGACUUGUUGUUCAACUCAACAGUUCAGAGGACAAAUAGAAAGAUCUACAGUCUUUAUUUGAGAUGAUCAAGUGUGUCUCUGGAACAGGGUGUCCGCGAGGUCUUAAAAAGUUGAUAAAUCAAUUAUGAGAAAAUUGAGGCCCUUAAAAGCGUGCUCGAUCCACACGAUUGUUUCGGACUGGGGUGCGUCUGGCCAAGCUUCUCCAUCCGGAUGAUGUCACGUAAUUUGCGAC